CAUAAUGUAGACCUUCCAGGUCGUUUAGCCUUAUCUCAAACAUUUGGCCCUAAUGCUGCUGUUCUCAUUCCUGUUUAGUGGGGGAAACAGCAUGAAACCAUCCAGAGGAAGAGCAGCUCCUCAGAGAAGAAGAUCAGGUCAGCUGACUGCAGGUGGAGGAGAGGCUUCAUUUACUCCUCUGAGUGAAGAGCAAUCUAAAGAGGCAAUUUCUAUCAUGAAAUACUCUUUUGAUGAGGCUGCUAUCAAGAAUAAGAUGAAGUUUAAUUAGAUGGUCCUUGAUGAAAAGAAAUAACCCUUGAAAAGUGCAGCUGAGUUAAUAAAGGCCACAUUAACAUGUUGGUAUGAAACUUCUAUGCUUUAGUCUUUUUUACGUUUGGUGUUUAUAUCAAAUGUCUGGUCACAGUUCCAAUCAUACGUUUAAAAACCUAAAUGAGGGAUUGCUGUUUAAUGUUCUGCUAAUUUAAUGAUAUUAUUCUUUUCUAACAGUCUCAAUCUACUUUGAUUGAUCAAGACUUUAUCCUGGAAUUUGGAGAAGAUAUAUCCUCAGUGUUUAUGAGCGGUAAGUGUCAGCCUAUCUCCUCUCUUUAGUAUGAAUGCAUGUUUUUCUCCAGGAAACAGGAAGUAAUCCUGCAGAGCCAGACUCUUCCUGCCUCCAGUGAAGAACUGAUCUACUGUGGAGCGUCGGAUGAGAAGGAAUUGGAAAGCAUUGCAUCUGGCUGGGAUAGCGAUCCUGCUUCCAUCAUUCUGCUGCUCCACCUGAGGCCGUAAAACACCUGGAAGCUUCCUGCAUCCCAAGCUGCUUCCUGCUCUUCCACAAGAGUGGAACAAGUUUUCAGCAGCAUGUUGAUGACAUCACUUCUUCAACGCAUCCAUCUUCAUUCAAACAAGCAUCUAGAAGCUACGCUGGCAAAGUUCAGCAGACUCCACGUCUCAAAGCUGAACUAGAAGCAGUGAAUGAAUCAGGAAACAAGUCUGCCUGUAAAUGUAAUUAGUUUCUUAUGAAUCUAAUUUACUAUCUUUAUUUUUUGAUCUUCUUCACUCAAUACGUUUAAACAACAUGGUGAAGCUUUGUUGUGUUUAUCAGAACCAACAUCCUUGUUAUGCAUAUUAGAUUAAGUCCUGGUUUAUGUCCUGUUAAGGCGCUCCACCUGAAAUGUGCUCAGAGAGGAUGUAGCCGGAUUUUUCAGGAAACAUUUAAACACAAACAUGAUGAGCAGACUGAACAUGAACCUGAAACUGGACCAAACCAGUUUUACUGCAGAUUAAAUGCUACUUGAAGAUUCUGUGGAUAAUUCAGUGGGUCUAGAUGUACAGUAAGUCCUGCUAGAGCUGCAGCUUCAACAUGUUGGUCCUCUGAGAACUUUUCUGCUGAAAUUGAACAGAAAUCCUUUACUUCAUUAAAUGCUGAGUCCAAACAAAAUGCUUCUUUUAAAGAGAAGUGGAAGAUUUUUGAACCUGUUGAAAAUAGAAGUAGAUGUAGUGGAACUUAUGAUCAAGUGGUUUUUACAGACAGAUUAGCAAAUAUUCCAGUUCUAGAUACUCUGCGAUCUAUUCUCACAAAUCUACAAGUAUGUGGAAUGUUUUCAUCCGACCAUAUUUCAAAGGUUGCUUUGUAUUUCCAUUUAAAAGAUGGUCUAGAUACGAAUAAUCCUCUUUUUUCCAAGGAGAAAAUGUAAAUGUUUAGUUUUAUUUUUAUUCUAAGUUU